CCACCGCACGGUCGAACGGGAUGUCGGACACGGCAACCGCGGCCGAAGCAGCGUUGACGGCAACGAUGUCGACGGGGUUCGAUUCGUCGACGGCGAGGACGGUGACAACGACGUGCACCUCGUUGCGGAACCCGUCCGGGAACGCAGGCCGCAACGGCCUGUCGAUCAGACGGGCAUUGAGGAUGGCUUUCUCGGUGGCGCGACCCUCACGACGGAAGAACCCGCCGGGGAUCUUGCCGGCCGCGUACAUCCGCUCUUCGACGUCGAUCGUCAACGGGAAGAAGUCGGCCUC
rnacentral:misc_RNA from 1 species